CCGAGAAGCUGAGUAAAGGAGCCAAACUGAGAAAAACACAAGAUGGCACCUGUGUCCGAGACCGUGGGUUUAGCGUUAUGCCCUAGGAACCUGUUCAUCCCUUGGGCCAAAGACGCGAGAUACUGGACAUGGGACCAGAUCCCACUCGAGAGCCAAGAUUACUGUCAGAUCGACGUGCCAGAACUCUUGAACGUAUGCUGGCUCGAUGUCCGUGGGAAUUUCAACAUGUCACAGCUCACAGCGAAGACAUGGUAUGAGGUCGUGAUGGAAGUGAUGCAGAAAGAGCCAUGCCAAGGAUGGGCGUCACCAGUGACCCUUCAAGUCCGCAAGGCGGAAGUACCUCAACUUCCUGUCAAGUGACACUCGACUGCAUGCCGCGGAACAAAUGGCAGAACCUUGUCGUUGGCAACUUCGAGGCCACAGGAUCCGGGGAGGUCGAUUUCUCACUGAAGGAGACAUCGGGAUGCUGGAAGAAGGGGCUUCUCAUCAAAAGAGUCUUGGUCAAGCCUGUGAACCCCGGGGUGUGGUGUUAAGGGUUGGCUAUAUACCCGAAGGACAUGUGGAUCUCUUGGGCACGAGAUGCAAGAUACUGGAAGUGGAACUGCCUCUUGUUCAACAGCCAAGAUUACGGUGAGAUUGAGGUGCCAAAACUGUUGGGAGUAUCCUGGCUCGAGAUCCGUGGGAGCUUCGAGAUGUCGAAGCUCAAAGCAGGCGCAGCGUAUGAGGUCGUCAUCGUUGCAAUGUUGAAGGAGCCAUGUUCAGGGUGGGAGUCUCCGGUGACCCUUCAUCUGCUGAAGCCGGAUAGUAGCUCGACCUCGCGUGAAGUGACCCUCAAGGGCAUGCCCUCGAACAAAAUGGCUGGACCUCGUUGUUGGUGACUUCUUGGCAGCCGGAAGUGGCCAGGUAGAAUUCUCCAUGACGGAGACCAAGGCGGGGAACUGGAAGAAGGGGCUUAUCAUCAAACACGUCCUCAUCCGACCGGUGCACGACUAGGGGACACCAGCCAAAUUCCCAUGGUUAAUUUCUUAUGUCAUUGGCUUCCUCUGUUUUUUGCGUUGUAAUAAGCGGAGAGGUGCGUUAUUGCUGGCAGUAGCUAUCUGCAUGCGCCCACUCCAU